rnacentral:rRNA from 1 species
AACGAACGCUGGCGGCAUGCCUAACACAUGCAAGUCGAACGAGACCUGCGGGUCUAGUGGCGCACGGGUGCGUAACGCGUGGGAACCUGCCCUUAGGUUCGGAAUAACUCCCCGAAAGGGGUGCUAAUACCGGAUAAUGUCUUCGGACCAAAGAUUUAUCGCCUUUGGAUGGGCCCGCGUUGGAUUAGCUAGUUGGUAGGGUAAAAGCCUACCAAGGCGACGAUCCAUAGCUGGUCUGAGAGGAUGAUCAGCCACACUGGGACUGAGACACGGCCCAGACUCCUACGGGAGGCAGCAGUGGGGAAUAUUGGACAAUGGGCGAAAGCCUGAUCCAGCAAUGCCGCGUGAGUGAUGAAGGCCUUAGGGUUGUAAAGCUCUUUUACCCGGGAUGAUAAUGACAGUACCGGGAGAAUAAGCUCCGGCUAACUCCGUG